UUAGCACAGGAAAAUUCUGGGUAUUUAUUAUUUAUUUGUUGGUGCUCCUCAGAAUGGAACCCACUGCCUUCUCAUUGAGCUACAUCCUCAGCCUACUUUUUAAGUUGUUUUUGCUAUAAGACAGGACUUCGCUAAGUUAUUAAGUUAACCAGCCCAGACAUGAAUUUAUGGUACUCCCAACUCAGCCUCAAAGAGUAUUGGGAUUACAGGCAUGUGCUACCAGACCUUGUUAAAAUUCUGCUUUUUACUAUGACAGAAUUAUGCUGUGUAGCCAGGCACUCCUGCAAUCUAGCACUUAGGAGGCUGAGGCAGGAGAGUUGUUUGCAAAUUUGAGACCAGCCUGGGCUAUAAAGUAAGCCCACAUCCAGCCUCAACUGCAUAGUGAGACCCUGUCUCAAAGACAGAGAGAGAGUGGCGGGGGGGAUUGUGUUACAUUUCUCUUUUUUGUGUUUUGGGGCAGAUAACUCAAAUAAAAUGUCCAUUCCUUGACAUAACAGCAACAUGUUUUGCCCAGGGUAUAAAAAUAUAGAUUAAAUUAGUGAACAAUUCAUUCCAUAGAUUUCUGUGCUAAACCAAAAAAACUGAGAGAGAGAAUUACCCACGGAGUACAGGAAAUACACCCCAAACCAAGUUAGUUUUUCUGAUGGUGAUUUCUAGAACACUAAGAAAAUCUUUGAGACAUGGUUUCCUCCUCUGUACAGUGUGGACGGCUGCUGAGAGAGCUGAGUAACAGUAGCAGGGCAGUGCUGUACUGAGUCAAAUUAGAACCAGGGAAAAAAGGAAAAUUCAGUAAGACUGCACUGACCAGUCUUUAAACUCCUAGUAAAUUGCUCCCACAGACUUCUGGUAUUGUUUUGAUUUUUUAAAACUGUACAAUUAUUUGUCAUGAUUUCUUUGGCGCCUCUUUUAGAUUUCAAGCUUGAAAUAACUCGUUCAUUCCCUUUGCUUGUCUUGGUCUUAAAACACAAGGUUUGCCAUGAAUCUGGAGUCAGUGAAUGUUAAAUACAUGUAUUUAUGCUCAUCCAUGGCUCUAUCAUCUAAAUUCAUAAAUAGGUCAGGCUAAAUGCCUUAGAGAAAUUCUAAUGCAGGGAUUGUUGAGCUUAACUCAAAAGAAAAUUGGAUUAAUUUGGUUUAACUCAAAAUUAUCACCUGUUUCAUCCCUAACAUAGGAAGAAAAACUUUAGGAAGGAUGAAGUAGGUUUAAAGUGUUAACUCUGUUUUUUUUUUCUUUUUGUGAAUGAAGGUUAAGAAGCUCAUAGUUUUCUUAACACUAGAAUACCGAGUACAGAUUAGACCUAUUUAUUAAGUUUCUAAGUCCCUAUAAACUGCUUAUUUGAACAAAGUUAUUAGAAGGUGAGGGGAAACAACAUUGGUAGGAGUUUCACCAUACCCUAUGCAUUCCAAACCAUUUAUUUUUAUUUAACCUCAUUUUAUCAGGGUAUUUGAAACUAGAGAGAUUCAUUGAUGAAAUCACAAGUGUUUGAAAAUUCACCUUUGAUGUUAUCUAUAAUUUUUUAAUGCCUAAAUACUACACUCAGAAAAAUAUAGUAGUCAUGAAAUAUUGGAGCUAAAAGGUCUUUUUUUCUGGUCCCAGGACUUGAACUCAUGACCUCAUGCUUGCCAGGCUGAAGCUAAAAUGUCUUAAAUAAAUUCCAACCCAAGAGUUGUGGAGGUAUAAGCGUCUCAGAGAAACAUAACAAAACACAUGUGUCGUAAGUGUGGUGGCCUCACCUGUCAUUCUAGCUCUGGGAGGCUGAAAAAGGAGGAUUUCAAGUACAAACCAGCUUAGGCAACUUAAAGAAAGAAAAAAAUUAAAGGUCUGGGACUAUAGCUUACUCUCAAGACCUUGAGUUCAAUAAGUAAAUAAAAAUAGGUGGUUAACAAAAUAAAAACUAGCUGGUGAUUUAGCUCAGUGGCAUAAGCUCCUGUCUUGCAAGUGCGUGGUCAGUUCAUCCUCCAUACCGAUUUAAAAAAAAAAACCUAAAAAAUUUCAAAACCUGACACAUGUGGCUUUUCCAGAUGUCUCAGCGAGUGCAAUGGCUGCAGCUUCAUGUCCCUGCCCGUGGACAACCUGCUGCCAGCCUGAUACAUGACUUGGGUGGGCGUGCCCCCUCAUCAGCUGCAGGAAGUGGGAAAAGCUGAAAGCCCUAAGCUUGCUCUAACCUCAUUGGAUGGAGUGGAGAGCCCAGGGGGUGGGUCCACAUCUGAAUCACGCAGGUGUCAGAGCUGGCAGCAGGGCCGAUGGAGUCUUGGGGCCUCAGCCAGCUCCUGUGGGUUUCCUUAUCAAGUAGUGUUGAAAGGCUGUGCACCUGGGAGACACAGUGGCUAAAGGCACAUGCUGAAAAAUCCCACUGCCAGUCUGCCAAAUUAGCUACCACCACUUGUUAGCUAUUUGAUCUUAGCUACUUGACAUUUUAAAAACCUUAGUCUCCUCAUUAGUAACAGGGAAAUAUCUACUGAGUUAACCCCUGGUUUGCAGUGGUGAUUAAGUGAAGGCAAUGUACCAUCAUUAGGUGCCCAGCAGGAUGGUGGUCUUUUUUAUCAACUGUCACCUAGACUGAUAGCUGGAAUUAGUGAUUUGGUCUCCAGGGUCUUCACUGCUGUCUCAACAACACCAGAAACAUCUUCUGCUUAGUAUACUUGAUUUAUGGACUAAUUUACUUAUCAGAGUUAUCUAUUCAUUAAAAAAGACUUGUUGAGGAAAGUACUUAGUAGUCACUGCUGUAUCUUGCGUUAGUGUAGCAUCCCUGGCGUCUUUGUGAGAGGAAAGGCCGCACAUGCUCUGGUCUUGUGCUUUGUUUUCUGCUAGGACUUUCUUGAAAUGGGUCAUCCGUUCCCCUAGCACGUGUACCCACAGCUUCACCAAGAUCACCACGUCUUCUGAAGUCAACUCUCACAUUUUUAUACAGCUUGCUGCAUACAUUUCCAUUUCCUGCUUUUGACGCUUAAGUCUUGAGAGACUGCUGCACUGCUUGUCGUUUAAAAAGUACUCAGGAGCUGUCUUUUGGUACCAAGAAUGAGACAAAGUGUAAACAAUCACAGCGUUAAGUGAAAUAAAUUAGACACACAGGCAUACAUGUGGGAUGGUUUUUCUUAUGUGAUAAGCCCAAAGUAUAAAUCAAGGAGCAAAAUAAAGGCUAGAUAAUAAGAAUCAGAGCGAUAGAGCUUUAUCAAGUAGGGAAGAGAUCUAGAGAUGGAGAGAGGGGGUUGGGGAAAGAGGGGAAGUGAAUUAAGUUGUGCAAGUACCAACUCCCCAUGAUGAAUAUAGUCACUAUGCAUGCAAGCAUGUCCUAAUAAAAGCAUUUGGUAAGUUAUAAGGACUCUUAAAAAGGACCUCUCCAUCCUAAAAGGUAAAGUUGAAUCAGCUAACAUAGAGUCAAUACAAUUAAUGGAUCAUUACCUACUGAUUUGUACAAACUCCACAGUUACACUCACAGUAUUGUAAUUGGAACAUGCAUGUGCUUGCUUGAGGGUCCCUGUGUCAGUCAGCUUUUCUGUUACUAGGACACAAUACCUGACACCCACAAAUUAGAAGAGGAGAAGUUUAAUCUGUUUGACAGUGUAGGGAGUUUCAGUACAUAGUUAGCUCGGUCCAAGGCAGAAAUAUCAUGGCAUAAGGGAGUGUUAGAGCAAUGGUGCUUAGUUCAUGGUGACCAGGGAGCCGAGCAAGGGAACUGUACAAGAGAACAUGAGAUAAAGGACUAAGUGUAGUACCCAAUACCGCCCCUCCAUGACACACCCAGACACUCAAGAAAUGUGUGAGUCCCAAAACAACCAAACAAACAAUGAAAACCAACAAUCACAGUCUCGUGAAGAUCCUGUCUCUUCCUUCUCCUUUCCCCCCACUUAGGGAACACUUAACUGUGGAUUGACUUGGUGAAUAACAGGAGUCUGUCCCUAAGGAGAAAGAAGUGAAACAUGGAUAGAAGGUAACGUUCUUCCAGGAACCCUGAAUCUGCACAAUGCCCCUCUCAUUCCAUCAGUCUCUGUUGUCACAUUUCCAUCUCAAUUCCUGCCCCAGGUGAUACUGCUCCCUGGGAGAGGAAACCAGCCAUCACUGCACCCCUGUGCUAACCCACUAGCUUGCUGAAGUGUGCAGAUAAAGAAGCCUGGAAAAAAACUAAUAAAAGUUUUCCUAAUGAUAUGUCAGUUUUUCAAAUUGCUUCUUUCAUUCACACAUCACUUUCAGGCCAUGAUAACAUGGGAACAAACAAUAUUUUAUGCAAAUUUUCAAGUUAAAUAAAAGCAUUGCUAGUCAGUCAGUUAGGUUCCUAUGCUCAGUGCUGUGUUCCUCAAAGGAGAGCACUGGUUCUGAUAAAGACCAAAGAUGGAAUUUAUCUGAAUCUAGCUCCAAGGAGGUGGAGAGGCCUGUUUGCCUCAAACUCCCAUCUCCCCAUAUUCAGGUGGGCAUGGGUGCUUACUUUAAGGAACAAAGGGAAGAAGGAGAACAGAGGGAGGAUAUUUUAUCCCCUCUGCCACCUUCAGCUCAUCUGCUUUUUCUUGUGGAAAGGAAAGCUACUCCAGCCUCCUGGGUCUGCAUGUUCUAUCACUUCAUCUGGGCCGGGGAGGAGGAGGUGUCGGACAUGUGCUCAGAGGAGGAAGCUUACAGAAGCUGCUUUUCUCUAAAAGAAAAAAAAAACAAAACUCCAACUUCUAAAAUUCCAUGUUGCACUGCUGGUUACAAAAGAACAGAGAUGGGACUCUACCAGUUAGAUGCCUUCUUCCAUGUGGGAGUUCUCUGCAAGAAGUUCUAUGUAUUCGGUCAAUGAUAAUAAUUUCAUUGUAGAUAAAUCUUAUAAUUAUAGAGUUGUAGCAGCUACUGUAAUCACAAUAUAGAUGCCAUUAAAGAAGCUGAUGUAAGAAUGACUUUCUAAAAACUGUAGGUUAUUCUCCUACCUCAUUCAAUAAAGUAAUAAGUAUUGAUUUAAA